rnacentral:rRNA from 1 species
CUUGCAUACAAAGUAUAAGAGGCCCUGCCUGCCCAGUGACACUAGUUCAACGGCCGCGGUAUCAUGACCGUGCAAAGGUAGCGUAAUCACCUGUCUUUUAAUUUAAGACCUGUAUGAAUGGCAAAACGAGAGUCUAACUGUCUCUUUAAGUAAAUCAGUGAAACUAAUCUUCCCGUGCAGAAGCGGGGAUAAUACCAUAAGACGAGAAGACCCUAUGGAGCUUUAAAUUUAACCUAACUAUAACUCUAUUUUACUCAAAAGAGAAAACAUGUACCAUUAUAGAUUAAUAAAAAUUUUAGGUUGGGGCGACCACGGAAAAAAGAAAAACUUCCGAGAUGUACUUUUUAGAAGGACACUUCACAAAAUAGAAAAGUCUAACAUAUUGACCCAAUAAUUGAUCAACGAACCAAGUUACCCUAGGGAUAACAGCGCAAUCUUCUCCAAGAGUUCUUAUCGACGAGUAGGUUUACGACCUCGAUGUUGGAUCAGGACACCCAAAUGGUGCAGCAGCUAUUAAAGGUUCGUUUGUUCAACGAUUAAAGUCCU